AGGGCGCAUGGUGAAUGCCUUGGCACUAGGAGCCGAUGAAGGACGGGACUAACACCGAUAUGCUUCGGGGAGCUGUACGUAAGCUAUGAUCCGGAGAUUUCCGAAUGGGGCAACCCAGCAGUUUUAAUCAACUGUUACCACUAGAUGAAUUCAUAGUCUAGUUGGAGGUAAACGCUGUGAACUGAAACAUCUCAUUAGCAGCAGGAAUAUAAAGAAAUUUCGAUUCCCUAAGUAGCGGCGAGCGAACGGGGAACAGCCCAAACCAAAGUGCUUGCACUUUGGGGUUGUAGGACUGAACAUUUGAGUUACCAAAGAACUUGAUAGUCGAAGGAUUUGGGAAAAUCCGCCAUAGAUGGUGAUAGCCCAGUAGAUUAAAUCAAAUUCUCUCAGUUCAGGAUCCUGAGUACGGCGGAACACGUGAAAUUCCGUCGGAAUCCGGGAGGACCAUCUCCCAAGGCUAAAUACUACCUAGUGACCGAUAGUGAACCAGUACCGUGAGGGAAAGGUGAAAAGCACCCCGGGAGGGGAGUGAAAUAGUUCCUGAAACCAUGUGCCUACAAUAAGUCAGAGCGCGUUAAUGCGUGAUGGCGUGCCUUUUGUAGAAUGAACCGGCGAGUUAUGAUCCCGUGCAAGGUUAAGACUAAAAAGUCGGAGCCGUAGCGAAAGCGAGUCUGAAAUGGGCGUUUUGAGUACGAGGUUAUAGACCCGAAACCAGGUGACCUAUCCAUGUCCAGGUUGAAGGUGCGGUAAAACGCACUGGAGGACCGAACCCGUGUAAGUUGAAAAUUGCUGGGAUGAGGUGUGGAUAGCGGUGAAAUUCCAAACGAACUUGGAGAUAGCUGGUUCUCUCCGAAAUAGCUUUAGGGCUAGCCUCGGAAUUAGGAUCAUGGAGGUAGAGCACUAUUUGGACUAGGGGCCCGUCUUGGGUUACUGAAUUCAGAUAAACUCCGAAUGCCAUUGAUUCAUAUCCGGGAGUCAGACGAUGAGUGAUAAGAUCCACCGUCGAAAGGGGAACAGCCCAGACCAUCAGUUAAGGUCCCUAAAUGUAUGCUAAGUGGAAAAGGAUGUGGAGUUGCAUAGACAACUAGGAUGUUGGCUCAGAAGCAGCCACCAUUUAAAGAGUGCGUAAUAGCUCACUAGUCGAGUGAUCCUGCGCCGAAAAUGUACCGGGGCUAAGCAUACUACCGAAACCAUGGAUGCGACCAUUAGGUCGCGUGAUAGGAGAGCGUUCUAAGGGCAGUGAAGCAAGAUCGUGAGGACUUGUGGAGCGCUUAGAAGUGAGAAUGCCGGUAUGAGUAGCGAAAGAUAGGUGAGAAUCCUAUCCACCGAAUGACUAAGGUUUCCUGGGGAAGGCUCGUCCUCCCAGGGUUAGUCGGGACCUAAGUCGAGGCCGAGAGGCGUAGACGAUGGAUAACAGGUUGAGAUUCCUGUACUAGUUAAGUGCGUUUGAGCAAUGGAGGGACGCAGGAGGCUAAGAUGUGCAUUCUGUUGGAUUAGAAUGUCCAAGCAGUAAGUCUUGCGAAGAGUCAAAUGCUUUUCACUUUAAGGACAAGCUGUGAUGGGGAGCGAAAUUUAGUAGCGAAGCGUCUGAUGUCACACUGCCGAGAAAAGCUUCUAGUGAGUACUUAACUACCCGUACCGCAAACCGACACAGGUAGUCGAGGAGAGAAUCCUAAGGUGAGCGAGUGAACUCUCGUUAAGGAACUCGGCAAAAUGACCCCGUAACUUCGGGAGAAGGGGUGCUGAUCGCAAGAUCAGCCGCAGUGAAUAGGCCCAGGCGACUGUUUAUCAAAAACACAGGUCUCUGCAAAAUCGUAAGAUGACGUAUAGGGGCUGACGCCUGCCCGGUGCUGGAAGGUUAAAAGGAUGGGUUAGCUUCGGCGAAGCUCAGAAUUGAAGCCCCAGUAAACGGCGGCCGUAACUAUAACGGUCCUAAGGUAGCGAAAUUCCUUGUCGGGUAAGUUCCGACCCGCACGAAAGGCGUAACGAUCUGGGCACUGUCUCAACGAGAGACUCGGUGAAAUUAUAUUGUCCGUGAAGAUGCGGACUACCCGCGACAGGACGGAAAGACCCCAUGGAGCUUUACUGUAGCUUGAUAUUGAGUGUUUGUACAGCUUGUACAGGAUAGGUAGGAGCCAUAGAAACCGGAACGCUAGUUUCGGUGGAGGCGUUGGUGGGAUACUACCCUCGCUGUAUGACCACUCUAACCCGCACCACUAAUCGUGGUGGGAGACAGUGUCAGGUGGGCAGUUUGACUGGGGCGGUCGCCUCCUAAAAAGUAACGGAGGCGCCCAAAGGUUCCCUCAGAAUGGUUGGAAAUCAUUCGCAGAGUGUAAAGGCACAAGGGAGCUUGACUGCGAGACAGACAGGUCGAGCAGGGACGAAAGUCGGGCUUAGUGAUCCGGUGGUACCGUAUGGAAGGGCCAUCGCUCAACGGAUAAAAGCUACCCUGGGGAUAACAGGCUUAUCUCCCCCAAGAGUCCACAUCGACGGGGAGGUUUGGCACCUCGAUGUCGGCUCAUCGCAUCCUGGGGCUGUAGUCGGUCCCAAGGGUUGGGCUGUUCGCCCAUUAAAGCGGUACGCGAGCUGGGUUCAGAACGUCGUGAGACAGUUCGGUCCCUAUCCGUCGCGGGCGUAGGAAAUUUGAGAGGACCUGUCCUUAGUACGAGAGGACCGGGAUGGACAUACCUCUGGUGUACCAGUUGUGCCGCCAGGCGCAUCGCUGGGUAGCUACGUAUGGAUGUGAUAAACGCUGAAAGCAUCUAAGUGUGAAACACACCUCGAGAUGAGAUUUCCCAUUCCUUUAU
rnacentral:rRNA from 1 species